AGUGAACGCUGGCGGUAGGCCUAACACAUGCAAGUCGAACGGCAGCACAGUAAGAGCUUGCUCUUACGGGUGGCGAGUGGCGGACGGGUGAGGAAUACAUCGGAAUCUACUUUUUCGUGGGGGAUAACGUAGGGAAACUUACGCUAAUACCGCAUACGACCUACGGGUGAAAGCAGGGGAUCUUCGGACCUUGCGCGAUUGAAUGAGCCGAUGUCGGAUUAGCUAGUUGGCGGGGUAAAGGCCCACCAAGGCGACGAUCCGUAGCUGGUCUGAGAGGAUGAUCAGCCACACUGGAACUGAGACACGGUCCAGACUCCUACGGGAGGCAGCAGUGGGAAAUAUUGGACAAGGGGCGCAAGCCUGAACCAGCCAUACCGCGUGGGUGAAGAAGGCCUUCGGGUUGUAAAGCCCUUUUGUUGGGAAAGAAAAGCAGCAGGUUAAUACCCCGCUGUUCUGACGGUACCCAAAGAAUAAGCACCGGCUAACUUCGU
rnacentral:rRNA from 1 species